AAAUAUGCCAAGAAAUUGGUUGCGAAAUGACGUAAAUAUCCUUAUAAAAUUGAAAAUUACAGUUCUGCCAUCACAGCUAUACCAUCGCUUCUCACAUGUUUUUGCGCCUUAUUUCGAUUACCAUCACAUAGCGAGGCUGAAAUGAAAGGGUCAUGGAGGUUCACCUGAUUCAACACCAAACAUAGCCAACUGCUAAGGUUGUAGUUCAAUUCCUGUUCUGCCUUGUGUCCCGUGGGUCUCAGCUGUUCGCGGACUGUAAAUCGAGUGGUUGUUGGCAAAUUCGUGAUUUGGGAAGGAGGAUUCGGGUGUAGCAAAGGGAUGAAGAGUGAGCUCCCUCACUUCAGUGCUCUGGAUCUUCUAUGCCGCAUCCGUUGACAAAGUAGUUAAUGGCACAUGUUAUGAAAGCAAGGAAGGAAAGUGUAUGCCAUGAUCUCUACCUCAGCUGUAGCUCAAAGACAGAGACUACUGAGAAAUGAUGCAAAUUAAAUCCUACUCUGUAAUCCACAUAUUUUUUGUAAAAAAAAAGGGACCCGUGUACAAUGGUCUCCUUCAACAACUGCAUGCCACAAGCAAUAUUACAUCCUAUACUGCAAUGUACAUGCAAUUUUACAUUGUUA